rnacentral:tRNA from 1 species
GGAGACGUGGGUGAGUGGCUGAAACCAACGCUUUGCUAAAGCGUCGUACGGGCAACCGUACCGAGAGUUCGAAUCUCUCCGUCUCCGCCA